GACGAACGCUGGCGGCGUGCUUAACACAUGCAAGUCGAACGGAAAGGCCCUGCUUUUGUGGGGUGCUCGAGUAGCGAACGGGUGAGUAACACGUGAGUAACCUGCCCCUGACUUUGGGCUAACUUCAGGAAACUCGGGCUAAUACCGGGUACGAGCUCCUCAUGCAUGGUGGGGGUUGGCACGUUUCGUCGGUGGGGGACGGACUGGCGGCUUGUCGGCUGGUUGGGGGGGUAGUGGCUUACCAAGGCUUUGACGGGUGGCCGGCCUGAGAGGGUGACCGGCCACAUGGGGACUGAGAUCCGGCCAAGACUCCUACGGGAGGCAGCAGGGGGGAAUAUUGCACAUGGGGCGGAGGCCUGAUGCAGCAACGCCGCGUGCGGGAUGACGGCCUUCGGGUGGUAAACCGCUUUCGCCUGGGACGAAGCGUGAGUGACGGUAAUUGGUAAAGAAGCACCGGCUAACUACGUG
rnacentral:rRNA from 1 species